CCUUUGCUGGUAUAGGCCGAGGUGAAGUCGCCGUUAUUGUCGGUGAUCGUAAUCACAAGGUCUUUAUGGCGCCGUGUUUCGAUUACCCGGUCGAGGGC
rnacentral:tRNA from 1 species